rnacentral:piRNA from 1 species
UGAAAAAUGAAUUCUUAACAU